GGGAUGUGAUGAGUGGUCAAUACUCGCAUUAAAAUAUGUGAGAAGGGUGUCCAGGCUUAGCCUUUUACGACAAUUUGGGCGCUCUCAAUUUUACCAAUCUGAUCCC
rnacentral:snoRNA from 15 species